rnacentral:misc_RNA from 1 species
AGGGAUAUCUCCUUUCUAACAAAAAAAGAAUUAUCAAAAUCGGUACAUCCAGUAGAAAGUUAUGCGGUAUAAUACAACGUAGGUCUACGAAAAAAGCGUCAAGUAAAAACGCAUUAUUAGAUAUAAUUCGAAAAGUAGUUGUUAGAUCUCAAAUAAAUUUAAAUGGGACCAAUCGGCACACACCACCUUUCGAUUAAAACAAAAUUUGUCGAAAUCGGUCUACCUGGUCAAAAGUUCUGAUGUAACAUACAUAAAA